UACGAAGGGGGCUAGCGUUGCUCGGAAUCACUGGGCGUAAAGCGCACGUAGGCGGACUCUUAAGUCGGUGGUGAAAUCCUGGAGCUCAACUCCAGAACUGCCUUCGAUACUGAGAGUCUCGAGUCCGAGAGAGGUGAGUGGAACUGCGAGUGUAGAGGUGAAAAUUCGUAGAUAUUCGCAAGAACACCAGUGGCGAAGGCGGCUCACUGGCCCGGUACUGACGCUGAGGUGCGAAAGCGUGGGGAGCAAACAGG
rnacentral:rRNA from 1 species